UACGUAGGGCGCAAGCGUUGUUCGGAUUCACUGGGCGUAAAGGGUGCGUAGGCGGUCGGGUAAGUCUGAUGUGAAAUCUCACAGCUUAACUGUGAAACUGCAUUGGAUACUAUUCGGCUUGAGAGUUGGAGGGGGGACUGGAAUUCUUGGUGUAGCAGUGAAAUGCGUAGAUAUCAAGAGGAACACCAGUGGCGAAGGCGAGUCCCUGGACAACUUCUGACGCUGAGGCACGAAAGCUAGGGGAGCAAACAGG
rnacentral:rRNA from 1 species